rnacentral:lncRNA from 1 species
UUCCUGGUUUUUAUCAUCAUCCUACUAUGUUGUAUGAUUUUCAGGCUAAUUUAACAAGAGAAUUUUUUUCUGCUCUAAAGGAAUCAGGUUAGUUUAGUUACCCCAUUUCAGUAAGUAUUUUGGAAUCCCCUCCAUGCCAAAUUAAUUUCUCUUGUUUCAGCAUAUUGAUAGGGGAUUCAAUGAUGCUCCAUUAUUUUUCCUGACCUGACCUCAUUUGCUUUGAUGUCCCCUAAGUUCUGUAAUCACAUUGUAACCUCUGUUAUGAGUAGAGAGGAAUUGGGCUCACUGAAAUCAGACACUAGAAAUUGUUGGGUGAUGCUCAUAACUGCAAACACUUAGCUUAUUGAAGUGCCUCUAUUUACAUGUUCUUUAGUUAUAAUAUGUAUUUUUCUAACAAAAAUACACGUCUGUAAUUGGUGUAUAUUAUACUUUGUAUAUGUUAUAACAAAAGCUAAACAGAGGCUAAAGUCUUUAGCAGAGAAGAAUGACUUGCAAAUUUACAAAUUAGCCCUGCUUAUGGUUCUGUAUUGAAGGACCCCAUGACAUCCUUCGGUCAUUUUAGCGAAGGUCAAGUCAUGCACUUCAAUUAUAGCCAUUGUAGAACAACCUUAGUACUACAAUCUGACUCCCUUGCAGUGACUUACCCAGAUAAGGAACUUGUAUUACCUGCUUGAAAUGUAAGGGAUAGAAAAUACUCUUUGUCUACACUGAAAAACACUAUUAUUCAUUGACAAGCAGUAGUAAUUAUAAAAGUAACAUUCUAUAAAUCAAACAUAUUGAAAAUAUUAUUGGACUCAGAACGCUGAUAUUUAAUUUAUAUUCCCUGCUGCAGACAUUAGCCUGCUUUAAUUCUUUAGCCAUUACACGCAAGUUUUGGCUACACACUGAACACCAACUAAAGUCACCAAGGAGAAAUAAAAACUUUGUAAAUUCCUAAGUUGUGAUUCUUUUAUUACUUCUCUUUGCAAGGCUAAUUAUCACGUGGUUUGAUUAAAGGUGUAAGUGUUAGCAAAUGCAAGUUUUGACUUAUCCAAAACUUGCAGAAAUUCAAAUUCAUUUUCAUUCACUUACAGUCACUAACAGACUUGACUUUUAACUUAACGGAGAGAGGGGCAGUUUAGCUUUGCCAACAGAAGAGUAAAGAAAAUCAUAACUUAGAAAUUUGCAAUGUGUUCCUCCGUGGUGAAGACAUUAGCCAGUGUUUAGUUUUAGGCCAAGUUAUAGAAAUAGAGUAUUGAUUUGUAUGCAUUCUGGAGCCUUGCUAUAUCAUGGUUUGCUACAGCACAGGACUCAGCCUAGCAUGGGGCCAUUUGAACCUCAUUCGAAGUUGAAUAGUUACUGGAAUCUUUGACAUUGCCCUGUAAUGAGGUACUUCCAUGAAAAGACACCUAAAGAUGGCAUAAUAGUGAGGUUUCUGUGUGCAUAUGCAUAAUAUA